ACGGUGGCCGGUAGCAAUGGCUUGUGGUCCCAUUAGAGACUGACUGCUUGCUUAUAACACUUGGCCAGAACGAAAAUCUAUCUUAUAUCCGUAGCGUCAUAAUGUGUAGUAUAGCCGACAUUUGGCGUAUGAAACGAAGAGACAUUAUC
rnacentral:snoRNA from 13 species